rnacentral:lncRNA from 1 species
AUUCUAACCCUAUCCCGCCGCCAACAGCACUCCCCCUCCCCAACCCCACAUUCAUCUUUGUUGAUGAAAAACUAGGAAUCAAAUUCAAGCAACAACCAUUUAUCAAAAUCGGCUACAAAACUAGCAGUCAAAUCAAUUCGGAUGAUGGUGCAAUGACGGAGAUGGGUUGUUGCUUGUUAGGCAUCAGGUUGGAGCAGAGGCGGCGUGGAUAGUGAAUUGGAUGGCGGUGGAGGAUUUGGUUUUACACCUGUAAUGGUGGUGGUAGCGCGGCCGCGGCGGAGCAAAGGUGGUGGUGAUAUGGUGAGGUCUCCCCUGUUC